UACGUAGGUGACCAGCGUUGUCCGGAUUUACUGGGCGAAAGAGCGCGCAGGCGGUCGUUCAAGCUCGAGUGUGAAAGCCCCCGGCUCCAACUGGGGAGGGUCAUUCGGAUACUGAUCGACUGGAAGGCAGGAGAGGGAAGCGGAAUUCCCGGUGUAGUGGUGAAAUGCGUAGAUAUCUGGAGGAACACCGGUGGCGAAGGCGGCAUCCUGGACCGGUAUUGACGCUGAGGAGCGAAAGCCAGGGAGCAAACGGG
rnacentral:rRNA from 1 species